GGACAGGGCUGGGUUGGGUAGUGGUCUGGGACAGGGCUGGGUUGGGUAAUGGUCUGGGACAGGGCUGGGUUGGGUAAUGGUCUGUGACAGGGCUGGGUUGGGUAAUGGUCUGUGACAGGGCUGGGUUGGGUAAUGGUCUGGGACAGGGCUGGGUUGGGUAGUGGUCUGGGACAGGGCUGGGUUGGGUAAUGGUCUGGGACAGGGCUGGGUUAGGUAAUGGUCUGGGACAGGGCUGGGUUGGGUAGUGGUCUUGGACAGGGCUAGGUUGGGUAGUGGUCUUGGACAGGGCUAGGUUGGGUAAUGGUCUGGGGCAGGGAUAGUUUGGGUAGUGGUCUGGGACAGGGCUAGGUUGGGUAAUGGUCUGGGGCAAGGCUGGGUUGGGUAAUGGUCUGGGACAGGGCUAGGUUGGGUAAUGGUCUGGGGCAAGGCUGGGUUGGGUAGUGGUGGUCUUGGACAGGGAUAGUUUGGGUAGUGGUCUGGGACAGGGAUAGUUUGGGUAAUGGUCUGGGGCAAGGCUGGGUUGGGUAAUGGUCUGGGACAGGGCUGGGUUGGGUAAUGGUCUGGGGCAAGGCUGGGUUGGGUAAUGGUCUGGGACAGGGCUAGGUUGGGUAAUGGUCUGGGACAGGGCUAGGUUGGGUAGUGGUGGUCUUGGACAGGGAUAGUUUGGGUAGUGGUCUGGGACAGGGUAGAGGGUAAUAUUACUACAGUUGAGUGCAGGCUUGUGUGAGUGUGGGGGGGGGGGGCUGUCAGGUUAGUCAGUGAUGGAUGGUCACUGAUGGUGGAAGGAGUACAAAGAUGCCUGUGUGGGUCUCAGUAAGAGGGGGGCAGCAGUGUGUUAGAGUCACUCAUAACCCCCCCUCCCCCAAAUCUUUUCUACACAUACACACUCACACACCUCCCCACCUCAUUUUCAGCAGAACCUGAGAACUUGUGUGUGCCAGCCGUAUACUCCCCCAACACCCCCCAGGUUGGGGAAAAGUCCCCUCUCUGCAUUUAGAAGUGAAGGGGAACAGUGAGGUACAGUCACCAGGGGGUCCACAAUGUUUACUUCUGGUCUGCAGUUGUUCUAUAUUAGUUUAUCUUUGGAAUUCAGCACACAAGCCCUGAGACUCAGUCCCAGCUCUGUUUGACUGAUGAGUAGUCUGAGUAGUCAUCAUAUCCUGGUUGGACAUUUUGACAGGCAUUGUCACUGUUGUCAAAACAGACCUCUUCACUUUGAAUAUCCACAGUAAAAAAUGUUAAGUGUGUGUGUGUUUGGGUGCAUGUGUGUGUGUGUGGUCUGGUUAUUGCCAACAGUGUUCCACUUUUCCUCAAUGACAAGCAGCAGCACAUUGCGGGACAGCUGAGAUGGGCUGGGGGUGAAGUGUGGGGGUAAAGGGGGAGAGGAGAGGGGUAGUGUUUUAAAUCUUACUCUUUAUUCUAAAGCUGUAAUUGUUACAAUGAACAAUAUUCCUUCCUUCUUGUAGUGUACAUGUUAUAAGUUGCUCUGGAUAAGAGAGUAUGUCAAUAAUAUGACCUAGAUGUCCUUGUAGAUCGUAAGGAAAAGGAUGACAGAGUAGGAUGAAGUUGUUCCUACACACUGAUCUAUGGCCAGUUAGACAUUUUUCCCUCUGAUGGUUGAGAUUUGGAUUUGAGGUGGGGAAGCAGUUGAGGAUCCAAUUUGUCUCCUAGUGUAGAUACCCAGAGUGUGGCUGUAUUAGUCCAGGAAUGUAUCCUCUCUCUGGCUCGGCUCUCAACUCUUAGAAAAAAUAAUGGGCUGCAUAACCAUAGCGACAGCGACAGAUGCCCCCUUGUCCAUCGUCAAGGAGAUGGGCUGUUGCUAUGGGGAACUCUCCACGACAACCCGUCAGUCUACAGCUAAAUGGGAGAAGGGAAAGUAUGACCUGUAUGUCAAUCACUCCAUCAAUACAUUAGCCAAUCAACCGAUCACACAUAUCACAUGCUCAUGGUUGUGGUAGACUGAUAUACCCAUGUGUGGGGAAGGCAAAGGUGUAUUAAUCAAUCAAUCUACCUAUUAGUCAAUUAAAAGUGACAUCAAGGAUGUAUGUAUGUAUGAAGUAUGAAGUAUGAAGAUAGGCACACUGCUUCUCCAAUAGAAAUCCCCCAUCACGCUUGCAGGCGAUGUCAUGGCGAUGCUGGCUGGUAGGGUGCCAUUUGAGGUCGGUUUUGGUUCGUUUUUUGAAAAUAAUCACAGUUUUCAGCUUCGAUUUUGAUUAUUAUUAUUUUUUACAGUAAAUGCAUUGUGGGUCAAAUGCUGUAACAUCACAGAAAACAAUAAUUGAUGUUAGUGACUGCUCAGAGCUAGUAAUAAUUACUAUUAUUAUUACUAGCACUUAUUAGGCUCUAACCUUAAUUUAUUCACAUUACUUUAUAUUUUGGUUGUGUAUAUUACAUAUUUAUUUUUAGUAUCAUAUAUAUGAUAAUGACU
rnacentral:lncRNA from 1 species